rnacentral:snoRNA from 1 species
AAACCAUGAUGAGGGCAGUCUCUCUCAUACUCUUUAAAUCGCUCCCAAGCUUCAUAGAAUGAUUGUUGGAAACUUUGUAUCUUAUUUCUCAGCU